rnacentral:rRNA from 1 species
AACGAACGCUGGCGGCAUGCCUAACACAUGCAAGUCGAACGAGAUCUUCGGGUCUAGUGGCGCACGGGUGCGUAACGCGUGGGAAUCUGCCCUUUGGUUCGGAAUAACAGUUGGAAACGACUGCUAAUACCGGAUGAUGACGAAAGUCCAAAGAUUUAUCGCCAGAGGAUGAGCCCGCGUAGGAUUAGCUAGUUGGUGUGGUAAAGGCGCACCAAGGCGACGAUCCUUAGCUGGUCUGAGAGGAUGAUCAGCCACACUGGGACUGAGACACGGCCCAGACUCCUACGGGAGGCAGCAGUGGGGAAUAUUGGACAACGGGCGAAAGCCUGAUCCAGCAAUGCCGCGUGAGUGAUGAAGGCCUUAGGGUUGUAAAGCUCUUUUACCCGGGAUGAUAAUGACAGUACCGGGAGAAUAAGCUCCGGCUAACUCCGUGCCAGCAGCCGUAAUAC